rnacentral:rRNA from 1 species
UUUGAAAUCUGGCUCUUUCAGGGUCCGAGUUGUAAUUUGCAGAGGGUGCUUUGGUGUUGGCGGCGGUCUAAGUUCCUUGGAACAGGACAUCGCAGAGGGUGAGAAUCCCGUAUGUGGUCGCCCGCCUUCGCCGUGUAAAGCCCCUUCGACGAGUCGAGUUGUUUGGGAAUGCAGCUCUAAAUGGGAGGUAAAUUUCUUCUAAAGCUAAAUACCGGCCAGAGACCGAUAGCGCACAAGUAGAGUGAUCGAAAGAUGAAAAGCACUUUGGAAAGAGAGUCAAACAGCACGUGAAAUUGUUAAAAGGGAAGCGCUUGCAGCCAGACUUGCCUGUAGUUGCUCACCUGGGCUUUUGCCCGGGGCACUCUUCUGCAGGCAGGCCAGCAUCAGUUUGGGCGGUAGGAUAAAGGCCUCUGACACGUAUCUCCCUUCGGGGUUAACAUAUAGGGGGGGCGCAAUGCUACCAGCCCGGACUGAGGUCCGCGCAUCUGCUAGGAUGCUGGCGUAAUGGCUGUAAGCGGCCCGUCUUGAAACACGGACCAAGGAGUCUAACAUCUAUGCGAGUGUUUGGGUGUCAAGCCCGAGCGCGUAAUGAAAGUGAACGGAGGUGGGAACCCCUCGGGGCGCACCAUCGACCGAUCCUGAUGUCUUCGGAUGGAUUUGAGUAAGAGCAUAGCUGUUGGGACCCGAAAGAUGGUGAACUAUGCUUGAAUAGGGUGAAGCCAGAGGAAACUCUGGUGGAGGCUCGCAGCGGUUCUGACGUGCAAAUCGAUCGUCAAAUUUGGGCAUAGGGGCGAAAGACUAAUCGAACUAUCUAGUAGCUGGUUCCUGCCGAAGUU